rnacentral:rRNA from 1 species
UACGUAGGGUGCAAGCGUUGUCCGGAAUUAUUGGGCGUAAAGAGCUCGUAGGCGGUCUGUCGCGUCUGCUGUGAAAAUCCAGGGCUCAACCCUGGACCUGCAGUGGGUACGGGCAGACUAGAGUGCGGUAGGGGAGAUCGGAAUUCCUGGUGUAGCGGUGAAAUGCGCAGAUAUCAGGAGGAACACCGGUGGCGAAGGCGGAUCUCUGGGCCGUGACUGACGCUGAGGAGCGAAAGCAUGGGGAGCGAACAGG